rnacentral:tRNA from 1 species
GAUUAAGUAGCUUAUUAGAGCGUUGCAUUGAAGCUGCAAAUGAGCAAAUCUUUUUGCCAUAAUCA